UGGUGACCACACGCUCCCGGAGGAGACAUCCCGAGGCCUCCUGAACACAGAGGAGUCUGGCUGUUGCUCCAUUUUUAUCACGCGUCUUACUCAGCGGUUUCUGAACUCUCUGGGUAGAGCUGCUUUCCACAGAUCAGAUCGUCUGCCGGUUUAAACUCCGGUCACUCAGCGAGUUUUCCGUCCGGACCGAGGGCCGGGAGCCUCCUCAUCCACCUGCUGCCUCCGAGAUCUUGUCUCAGUCCAGAAUCUCAACCGUCAGCACGAGUUAACUUGUUUUGUGUCCAGGUCUCUGACUUCCUUCUCCUUGUUUCCUCCGCUCCUUCACUACUUUGACUUAUCUCCUUCUAGAAAGGGAGUAAGGAAAGGAGCGUCGUCACUGUGACCUUUGUCACACUGAUAUGAUCCUAAACCAACACACGUCAGCCUUAUCUCUGACUGCUGCUGACACACCUGGGCAGCCGUCCAGGUGUGUCAGCUGGGUGGACCCGGGGACUCUCCUGCAGAAAAGAACAACAGGACGUUUGCACGGUGCGAAAACUCCGACGACUGAGUGGAGCAGAACUGAAUCUACAUCU